rnacentral:rRNA from 1 species
AGCAGUAGCCGCGGUAAUACAGAGGGUGCAAGCGUUAAUCGGAAUUACUGGGCGUAAAGCGCGCGUAGGUGGUUUGUUAAGUUGGAUGUGAAAGCCCCGGGCUCAACCUGGGAACUGCAUCCAAAACUGGCAAGCUAGAGUACGGUAGAGGGUGGUGGAAUUUCCUGUGUAGCGGUGAAAUGCGUAGAUAUAGGAAGGAACACCAGUGGCGAAGGCGACCACCUGGACUGAUACUGACACUGAGGUGCGAAAGCGUGGGGAGCAAACAGGAUUAGAACCCCGGUAGUCCCUGUCUCUUAUACA